GAUGAACGCUCGCUACAGGCUUAACACAUGCAAGUCGAGGGGCAGCAUGACCUAGCAAUAGGUUGAUGGCGACCGGCGCACGGGUGAGUAACACGUAUCCAACCUGCCGAUUAUUCCGGGAUAGCCUUUCGAAAGAAAGAUUAAUACUGGAUAGCAUAACGAGAAGGCAUCUUCUUGUUAUUAAAGAAUUUCGAUAAUCGAUGGGGAUGCGUUCCAUUAGUUUGUUGGCGGGGUAACGGCCCACCAAGACAUCGAUGGAUAGGGGUUCUGAGAGGAAGGUCCCCCACAUUGGAACUGAGACACGGUCCAAACUCCUACGGGAGGCAGCAGUGAGGAAUAUUGGUCAAUGGACGAGAGUCUGAACCAGCCAAGUAGCGUGAAGGAUGACUGCCCUAUGGGUGGUAAACUUCUUUUAUAUGGGAAUAAAGUGGGCCACGUGUGGCUUUUUGUAUGUACCAUACGAAUAAGGAUCGGCUAACUCCGUG
rnacentral:rRNA from 1 species